rnacentral:rRNA from 1 species
CCUACGGGUGGCAGCAGUGGGGAAUUUUGGUCAAUGGGCGCUAGCCUGACCCAGCCACGUCGCGUGAAGGAGGACUGCCCUAUGGGUUGUAAACUUCUUUUAUAUGGGAAUAAAGUGCAGUAUGUAUACUGCUUUGCAUGUCCCUUAUGAAUCAGGAUCGGCUAACUCCGUGCCAGCAGCCGCGGUAAUACGGAGGCUCCGAGCGUUAUCCGGAUUUAUUGGGUUUAAAGGGAGCGUAGGCGGGGUGUUAAGUCAGUUGUGAAAGUUUGCGGCUCAACCGUAAAAGUGAAGUUGAUACUGGCAUCCUUGAGGACAGUAGAGGUAGGCGGAAUUCGUGGUGUAGCGGUGAAAUGCUUAGAUAUCACGAAGAACUCCGAUUGCGAAGGCAGCCUGCUGGACUGUAACUGACGCUGAUGCUCGAAAGUGUGGGUAGCAAACAGGAUUAGAUACCCUUGUAGUC